GUCCGAUUUUUCGGAUGAGGGCUCCAUAAUGAAUUUAAAUAUAUAUAGAUAAUAGUUUUGGGGCAACGACUUUCUUGAGAUCCUAUAAAAUAUGUUUUAAUUAUUAUUUUUGUAUGUUUUAAGCAUGAUAAAAUAAGAAAUUUUAUAUAAGCAAUCAUAUUAAAUCGAUAUCAAAGUCAAUAAAUAAUGUACAACCCAAAACAGACAGCCGAACUGACGUGACAAUGACAUUUGGUGCGCUAAGCAUGGCGGAUUUUCGGCCUCAUUAGACAUUUACGUAUAUUCAUGUUUCAUUUUAUGUAUGCACUGAAAUACUGUUAUAUUGUUUUCCUGCGAGUUAAAGUGCUGAGUAAGAACGAGAUAGAUAUAUGUUUAUGUGUGUGCCUUCAAAAUGGGUGCUAUUUAUAUAAGCAAUUGUACGUAUAGAACAAUAUGUCGUGUCCCUAGUAUAUAGGUCUAUGAGCAAAUCGGUCAUCAUCUAGUUUUAUUUAAAUUGCAGUAUUGUAAACAGACGUAAAAUUAAUAACAAAAUCUAUCGAAUCUAUGAUUAAAAUAUAUUUAUUUAGAGCCAAUCCUCAUGGCCAUCAUUUAUGUAAAUAUUAUUAUUAAAGUAGUCAGACUAUUAACUUGUAGAAUCAUUCAUGACUUAAACACUACUUUCAUGACUAUAAUGAACUGCUGUUCACUUCCGCUGUCACAAACGCGGGGCGACCGCUUAAAUAAAGAUGGCGGAUUUUGUCACGGAUUGAGCGGAGUUACAAACGAUUAUAAUUUGAAAGCAGAACCAGGACGAUCACGGAAAGUGUACCGGAUAAGCCAGCUUGCUGCCAGAUUUCCUAGUACGAGAGCCGAAUGGUACGUUAAAUAAAUAAUAAAUAAAGUGAUUGCUGUUUCUGUCGCGGGUGGUGAGAUGAAUGAAAAAUAGACGAAAAGAUCAUAACAAUUCCUUAACUGGAGCAUUGCGACCGGGAACCGAAGACAAACUCUGCGGUAAGUCUAGACACUGGACCAAUUAGGCGACAGGAACAAAUUCCGGCUCAAACAGCCCAACGAGGCAGCGUCGGUGACGUCAACAUUUGCAAAAAACGACGUGGCCCCAGUCGCCGACGUCACCAGUAACUCCGUCAUAUACAUAUAUAGAUAAUAAACACUUAGACAAAGAGCAAAUAAACUUGUUCAUCACACAAUUUUUGCUCGAUUUGGGAAUCGAACCCACGACCUUCGGCGCAACAGUCGCGGCGAUACCUACUACACCGAGUGAGUCGAAUUAAAUGGUAAGUAAUAUAUCUAUUAUCUGCAAAAUCUUCAUAUCUAAUCAUUAAUUUUUUAAACUCAUCGUCACACAGGCUCGAAACAUGAUAUCCUGUGUUACAGGAUUUAAUGGGAUUAGACAUACUGAUAUCUAGACAUACUGAUUUAGUUAGACUAUAUAUGAUUGCGGAUAGCACACUACAUUAUAUUUAAAUGUAACACACGAAUUUGGAAACGUUCCCCUUUAAAGGAUCGGCAUUAUCUAAAAAUGGUCACGAAAGAUGCUGAUUUUAGGGCUUGAGGACAGAAAUAAAAUAAUUGCCUCGGAUUUUGCAAUCAGUUCACUUGACGCAGUGAGUCGACAGAACGUUCGUAAAACGACAGUCCAGUGUUUGGAACUGGAUGGCAUGUAGUCUCACGGUAGUUCCAUAAGCAAGUUAGGGGUCACAAGUGCUUAGAACGUACCUUACGAAUAUCUCACUUUGAGAAGGCGGCACGAUAUGAAAACCCUCUUGUCGUGGCCGCCGGUAAUUACAUACCCAAUCCUGUGAACCGAAUGACCCGUCGACGUCGCCCUAAACACGUGAUUACGGAUCCCCCCGAUCGAUUAACGGUGCUUUUAAGUACCUCAAGCACGGGUCAGCGUCCUCGCCGAACCCGUCGCUUGCGGCGAAGAGGUCGACGAGUAAAUUAACCCAUAGACACAGCCCACUGAGUUUCUCGCCGGAUCUUCCGAGUGGGUCGCGUUUCCGAUACGGUGGUAGAUUUUGCGAAGAACUGCUCUUGCUAGGGCCAGUGUUAGCAACACUCCGGUUUGAUCCCCGUGAGCUCACCUACACGUCAAGGAGAAGCUGAAAUAGCCUCUCAAGGCUAUCAGCAUAGGUAGGAAAAAAAACGAAUAUCUAAUAUAUAAAAUUCUAUGUCGAUUCUGAUGAAAUUUCGUGUGCAUAUUGGGUAGGUCUGAGAAUGGUUCAACGUCAUUUUUUCAUACUCCUAAAUGCUAAAGGUGGCCCAAAGAAAAAUAUUUCCUAGAAAUAAUGUAUAUGGCAAAACAACGUUUGCCCGGUCAGCUAGUAAAUUUAUAAAAUUGGAUGUUGGUACUUAUGUAGUUCUCUGUAGACUUCGAAACGACUGUUUUUUUUAUAUUGCCCUUGUAAGCAGACGAGCAUACGGUCCACCUGAUGGUGAGUGGUUACCGUCGCCCAUGGACUUCAGCAAUGCCAGGGACAGAGCCAAGCCACUGCCUAUCGUAAAUUUUUCGAUGAAAUUUACUGGAAGUUUUCAGACUGUCCAUCCAUGUCAUCGUGAUCCUGUCAAGUUUGGUAGCGAUCAGAUUAAAGUCUAAUCAAAGAUCGGAUGUAGAGGUGUUGAAGAGUCCUUCGCGAUAAGCACGAAGUAGCUUUGCUAUGUACGUUAACGUUUUCUAUGAUUUUUGGUAUUUUUUUUUUGGGCUGGUGUAGGUCUUUCUAGCUUACCCAAGCGAGUUAGUUUAGUACAACCAGGAGGGUUGUCUGUAAGUCAUCAUGACCGACGGUAACAGCUUACGAGCAAACGAGUUGAUCUGAACGGCAUAAAUUAGAUUUGCACUUUUGUCAACUUACUUGGCGAGGCAGUGGGCCGCAGUCAGGACCCAUUCGUGGUGAAUGAUUGAACCGCCGCAGGAGCUGACUCCCCCGACGGGGCUGACCAUACGAAGGCUGAUCUGAUGCGGGAUCUGAGCGUCUUCUGCAGGCCAACCGGCUACGAUGCGAGAUUGGCGGUCCGCUGAAUCGGAAAGAUAGAAGAUAGUUCUCUGGUAAAUUGAAUUAAUGGCUUUUCGUCAUCAGCCGUCAUCUCAACACUCACUCCUCUCUCUCUCUCAUAUCGUCAUUCACACACUCCAUCCAUGUCUUCUUCGGUCGAGCUCUUCCCCCUCUACCUUGCACUACCAUUUCCAUACAUCUCCUAGUCUCUACGCAUUACAUGUCCAUACCACGCUAACCGUCCACUCUUUAAUUUGUUAAUUACCGGGGCUACUUUCACAAUUGCUCUGAUAUACUCAUUAAUAUACCUACGUCUCACUUUAUACGUUGUGGUUACCAUCGAUCAUGGUUAGUAGAUGAGGGCAUAGGCUGCAUCAAGGUUUCUGCAUACGUCGUUUGAAAAAACAUCGAGAAGUAGAGGAAGAAGUAGAAGGAGAGGAGAAGGAAUUCCUCAGAAACUUCGAAAUAAAAAUUUAUUUGACUGGUACGUAUCAUUGUUGAUUUUAGAUAAAGAUUUUAAAUGAU